rnacentral:misc_RNA from 1 species
CUCCCAAGUGUCAUCAGUUAA